rnacentral:rRNA from 1 species
CACGUAGGCACCAAGCGUUGUCCGGAUUUAUUGGGCGUAAAGAGCUCGUAGGCGGUUCGGUAAGUCGGGUGUGAAAACUUUGGGCUCAACCCAAAGCCUGCACCCGAUACUGCUGUGACUUGAGUCCGGUAGGGGAGUGGGGAAUUCCUGGUGUAGCGGUGGAAUGCGCAGAUAUCAGGAGGGACACCGGUGGCGAAGGCGCCACUCUGGGCCGGUACUGACGCUGAGGAGCGAAAGCGUGGGGAGCGAACAGG